rnacentral:rRNA from 1 species
UGACCUGCGGAAGGAUCAUUACCGAGUGAGGGCCCUCUGGGUCCAACCUCCCACCCGUGUUUAUUUUACCUUGUUGCUUCGGCGGGCCCGCCUUAACUGGCCGCCGGGGGGCUUACGCCCCCGGGCCCGCGCCCGCCGAAGACACCCUCGAACUCUGUCUGAAGAUUGAAGUCUGAGUGAAAAUAUAAAUUAUUUAAAACUUUCAACAACGGAUCUCUUGGUUCCGGCAUCGAUGAAGAACGCAGCGAAAUGCGAUACGUAAUGUGAAUUGCAAAUUCAGUGAAUCAUCGAGUCUUUGAACGCACAUUGCGCCCCCUGGUAUUCCGGGGGGCAUGCCUGUCCGAGCGUCAUUGCUGCCCUCAAGCCCGGCUUGUGUGUUGGGCCCCGUCCCCCGAUCUCCGGGGGACGGGCCCGAAAGGCAGCGGCGGCACCGCGUCCGGUCCUCGAGCGUAUGGGGCUUUGUCACCCGCUCUGUAGGCCCGGCCGGCGCUUGCCGAUCAACCCAAAUUUUUAUCCAGGUUGACCUCGGAUCAGGUAGGGAUACCCGCUGAACUUAAGCAUAUCAUAA